rfam:Medicago truncatula strain A17 chromosome 3, whole genome shotgun sequence.
AGUCAUGUUUAUAAGCCAAGGAUGACUUGCCUAGCUAAAAACCAUUUACAUUAAUUGGGGACUUAAUUUGUAUAUGUUAUGUCUGAUCGAUGAUGAGUAUGUCCCUUGUUUAGUUUAUUAGCAGGCAGGUAUCCUAGGCUUUUUGACUGUCUCU